CCGCUUUCAAAACAAGCUUUUGUUGAGAAUAGUCCUCAUAAAAGUGUAGGCAUUCAUCUAAGUCAAGUAUGCAAGUCCUCUAACAUUAAAACUUCCGUGAAAAGCAGCAUUUCACCUGGAAAAGAAAGAAUAUUGUUGACAAUAAGCCAAACAAAAAAAUAAAAUCUAAUACUAAACUGGAAUCUUCGGGGUCUAAGCAAUCUAUGAUAACCAGGUUCUUCAGUAAACGAUUGCCUAAUGAAUUUCACUUGGAUGAGGUUGGCUCUAAGACUAAGGAAUGCAUUACAGAUGAGUAUCUGGUCCCAAAUGAUACUACGGUACAAUACAAAGAAGAGAUAGAUCAAUUCAUUUGGAUAUUAAAUGGCAGUGAAUCAUUAAGAAGCUAUGCUGCUGGUAUCCUGCAUAAGACUAAAGGAGACAUUAAUGUGGCACUUGAUAUAUAUUAUUGUAAUGCAGAGGGUUGCCUUGGUGAAAAUGCUGAAAGAUUGGCUAUCUCCAUUGACUCGGCUCAGACUCAGCAUUGUGGUAAUAACUGCUCAUCUCACCCAAAGAAUGUUUCAUGAUAUAUGGAUAAUUCAUCAAUGUCUAGCUCAACAAGAGAACAUGUAAAUACCACUCUGGUAUCACUACCUCCGGAGAAAUACACUCCUAUAGAACAUGGUUGGUGUCCUACUUAAGAUGUUUAUAAUGUCAACCUUAUAGUUGAUAUUGUCAAAUUCCUAUGUCACUUCUACUUGUCGUGGCUUUGAGAAGUUAAUUUGACUUUUCAAGUUUUCUUUUUUUUUUUUCCCCCAAUUUCUAUUCUUUUUACACUCAAUAUGUUUCAUUAACCUAAUGAUCAUUUCAAUUUCCUUUAUUUAAAGCAUACAAGCUAUCCAUGCUUUAGAAGCUUACUGUAACUUCUUAAUAUGAGGCACAUACUUUGCAAUUAUUUCUGAGUAGAAUUCUUGCAUAUUAAUUAGAUGUCUGGGCAGCAUGCUGGAGGGAUGGAGAACCUGCUAUAUAUCCAUCUUCUACGAACUUUUGACCUGGUUGAGGGUGAAAAGAACAAGAUUAGAGCUAUUUCUAUGCCUUGCAACAUGUUUAGACGGUUAACUGCUUUAGAUCACUUGGCUGUUUCUUUUAAAAAAAUUUCCAGGUCAUUGAUAACCAUUUAUAGUACUGGUAACAGCUGAUCAGUCUUUUUUCUUGCUUGAAAACUGUUUUGGCAUGAACCAGUUUGUUGGCGUUGUCCCUUGAAGAUGGGCUGCCUGCUGUGUAUCUGUGCACAAAUAAGAUUGUUGCUGACCGUGAAAAUAUUGUUAGUCUACUUUCUUCUCUAAUUCUUCGUCCUCUUUUGAUGUUCUUAUCUACGUGGUUACAUUUGUUUAGAAUCAAUCUUGUUAGUCUACUAUGAGCGUUAGGUUUUUAUGCAAAAAUUUUCAUACUACAGUUCUCUAUUCUCAAAGUUGGAUCAUUUCUCUUUUGGAAUUUAUUUCCUUAUGUCUCAUGGUUAUGGUUCCUUGUUCGGUAGCCUCAAGGCUAAUAUAUUCAGGAAGGGUUGUUUGUCAUUGGCUGAAUAAUGUUAUAGUGAAAACUCAAAUUGAAAAUAUUGUAGGCUAUAGUCAGUUUGCGUGGUCUUAAUGCUUUUGCUUUUGUUUCCGAAAACUGAUUAUUCAUUCUCUUCUAUGCCAUUUCUUUCUACUGGCUAUGGCAAGUAAAAUCGCAGUCUUGUCCAUUUUUAGAUCAUAAUCAUGGCUUAUUCAUUUCUUUUGGCUUUGUUUUAUAAAUCAAGAAAUAGAAUGUACCAUUGCCCGUUCGAAAUCGAUGUUGACAACUGAUGCAUGCCGGAUUUGCAAUGAUUGUGUCGUAUGGUCUGUUAAUGUGAAUAGACACUUAAAUGACUGGGAAAAAUCAAAAGUUUGAAGAACUUUUGGUGCUUUUGGAGAAGCAGAAUGUGAAAGAGGGCUCGGAUCAGGUCUCCUGGAAGUUAGAAAAAAGGGAAAAAUUUUCUGUCCAUUCAUACUACAGAAUGCUGAAUGGUGGGGAUGGGGAUGACAGUUGGGAUUUCCCUUUUAAACAAAACUGGAAUUCUAAAGUUCCUCCUAGAGUAGCCUUUUUUGCGUGGGAAGCAAGCAGGGAAAGUAUUUUCACUAUGGAUAAAUUAAAAAGGAGGGGGCAGGUUAUUGUUAAUAGAUGCUACCUUUGUAUUUGUGCAGAGAAAACUUGCAAUCACUUACUUUUAUGGUGCCUCUGUGGCCUAUAAUUUGUGGUGUAUAAUUUCUGGGCUGCUGGGAAUUAAUUGGGUUGUGGCUGGGAAUGUUAGGGACGAAAUUUGGGCUUGGGAUGAGCUUAUGAUCAAUGGUAAUGUUUCUACUUUAAUUCCAUUGACCCUUUUUUGGGUUAUUUGGAAAGAAAGGAAUGCAAGAGCAUUUGAAGGGAAAGAAGUAGAGUUGUAUAAAUUAAGAGAUAGGUGGUUUAAUUAUUUUGGGACAAGCUUGUUAGGGCAUGAUAUGAUGAGUGAGGAGGAUUUUGGGAUUGUCGUUGAUAUGCUAACUACGUUGUAAAUCUUUUGUAAAUGGGUUGGUACUUCUUUUUGGUACCGUGCUUUAGUUACAUCAGCUUUGGAGGAGGCUUGUGGGACAAACCGAUCUAAAAUAAGGGAUAUGUACAAUGAUUUGGGUAACCUUGGUAGGAAAAUAUCUCUUUUUUUUCCCCCUCUUACUAGUAUUCUGGAUAGCCUGCUAAAUAUUCUAUCAUCUUUUAAGGGGAUGUUGCUCAAGUAUCCUGACAAAGACAGAUGUUACUUGCUCCUCCUCCUCCAUUUCUAAUUAGAGAGGUAUUUUCUACACUCUAAAAGAUAAGGUAUGAGUAAACCAUUCCAAUGUUCAUACAAGAAAAUGUUAAAACUUCAUGACACAUAGAUACCAUCAACUUAAGUUAGCAAUUGUAAUUUGCAUUUGUACGAAAGCAUGUCAUGGAGGACGGACAGCAACAAAUUUUUUCCUCAAGGGUUGUUAUUGGGGUAGUAAUUUUUUUAUAAAUUCCAAUAACUUUUAAAAAGUUUCAGAUAUUUAGGAUUUCAUGAAGAAAUCUGAUAAUGAGUGAUUUAGAAAUUUUCAGUUGAUAAUAAGCGACUUGAAUCUUUUAGGCAAAUAGAUGAAAAAAUUUUUGCUGCUUUUGAGGGGCAAUUGAUAAAGGAUUACAUACUUCUAGAUUCCAUGUCUUCUAUCAUGCUAAGAAGUGUCAUUUAGGUAUUGAAGGAAGUGAAAGCAGACAUUUGAAUUUCUUUUGAUCUGAUUGUGCAAAUGGCCUAUUCUGUAACAAGUUCCAUUUGCAGUAAGAGACAUCUUCUAAUGCCAGAUGACUAUUUUGUAAUGAAAUUCACAUAUAUUCUCGUGUCAAUUAUACCAUGUGCAUGCUAUUUGUGCAAAUUCCACCUUUAUUUUAUUUUUCUUAUAUAGAAUUUAUCAGUGCACAAACAGGCAGUCAAAAGUACCGGCGGAAGAAAAACCUUAUGAUUAAUCUCAUGCGCUCUUGUAGAGAAAAGGAGAUUAAGUUAGGAACUUGGUAAGAUUCUCUCAGAGCCUUUUUUGCUUAAAUGUAUAUUGUGAAGGGCUUUAUGUUGUGUUAAUUACCCACUUUAGGCAUGACAAAUUUACACAUUCAUCAACUUAGACCAGAAAUGUGCUUGUGACUUGUUAAGUAUGCAGUGUUCUUGCAAAUAUUCAACGGUUUUCAAUUGACUCUUUAUGAGAACUGUGCUUUAUUCAGGUUCGGAAUUUGAGAAUUGGAGUAAUGAUGAGAGCUAUUCUGCCUGCACUGGCUCAAGCUGUUGUUAUGAAAUCUUUUUUUAGUUCCCAACUUGAAGAAAAAACAGAAAAUUUAAAAGAAAAGCUUCAGAUUCGAAUUUAACUAUAAUUCAACUUUUGACCUAGGCAUAUGGUGUUCUAGUUGUUUCCUGGCUUUUCCAAUAGGGAGGCCCCAGUUCAAAUCCCAGAGAACAGUUAUUGAAUUGUCAAAAAAUUCACACUGCUUGAAUUUGAAUAAGCCAAACCAUGGUGGGGGAAAUCAGAAAGACUUCUUAAUGGGUUUCUAUCUCAGAUCAUGUGAACAUGGUGAAAAGGCUGAAAUGAAUGCCAGCAUUGGCCUGUAUGAGCCAUACCAAGAGAAGGGGAACUCAUCUGAAGCACCAACCAUUGAGAAGAAUGAUCCUGGUAAUACUUGGGAUGAUACAACUUUAUCAGUGGAACCUUCUUUAAGAGUUUCUACUUUACAAGUAAAUGAUGAGGAAACUGAAAAAAUCAUUGGGGAACAUCGUGAUUGUUUGACCCACGUAUGUCACCCCAGAGCAGAUACUUGAUUUAAUUAGGAAGUCGGGAAGAAAUAUUAUUGAAGUUGUGUCUAAUUUUUAUGAACACGAAACUGAGUUUUAUCAGUAAGUCUUUGCUUGUACAACUUCUGGUUCUGCAUCACAAACCAGUUUGCCAAAUGAUACUGUGGCGCUUUCAAAACAAGCUUUUGUUGAGAAUAGUCCUCAUAAAAGUGUAGGCAUUCAUCUAAGUCAAGUAUGCAAGUCGCUAACAUUAAACUUCCGUGAAAAGCAGCAUUUCACCUUGAAAAAGAAAGAAUAUUGUUGACAAUAAGCCAAACAAAAAAAAUAAAAUAUAGUACUAAACUGGAAUCUUAGGGGUCUAAGCAAUCUAUGAUAACCAGCUUCUUCAGUAAACGAUUGCCUAAUGAAUUUCACUUGGAUGAGGUUGGCUCUAAGACUAAGGAAUCCAUUACAGAUGAGUAUCUGGUCCCAAAUGAUGCUACAGUACAAUAUGAAGAAGAGAGAGAUCAAUUCAUUUGGAUAUUAAAUGGCAGUGAAUCAUUGAGAAGCUAUGCUGCUAGUAUCCUGCAAAAGACUAAAGGAGACAUUAAUGUGGCACUUGAUAUAUAUUAUCGUAAUGAAGAGGGUAGCCUUGGUGAAAAUGCUGAAAGAUUGGCUAUCUCUAUCGACUCGGCCCAGGCUAUGCAUUGUGCUAAUAACUGCUCAUCUCACCUGAAGAAUGUCUCACGAUAUAUGGAUAAUUCAUCCAUGCCUAGCUCAACAAGAGAACAUGUAAAUACCACUCUGGUAUCACUACCUCCGGAGAAAUACAAGCCUACUUAGAAGUUUAUAUUGUCAACCUUAUAGUUGAUAUUGUCAAAUUCCUAUGUCACUUCGACUCGUCGUGGCUUUGAGAAGUUAAUUUGACUUUUCAAGUUUUCUUUUUCUUUCUAUUUCUUUUUUUAACUCAAUAUGUUUCAUUAACCUAAUGAUCACUUCAAUUUCCUUUAUUUAAAGCAUACAAGCUAUCCUUGCUUUAGAAGCUUACUGGAACUUCUUAAUAUGAGGCACAUACUUGCAAUUAUUUCUCAGUAGAAUUCUUGCAUAUUAAUGAGAUGUCUGGGCAGCAUGCUGGAGGGAUGGAGAACCUGCUCCAUAUAUCCAUCUUGUACGAACUUUUGACCUGGUUGAGGUGAAAAGGGCAAGAUUAGAGCUACUUCUAUGCUUUGCAACAUGUUUAGAAGGUUAACUGCUUUAGAUCACUUGGCUAUUUCAUUUAAAAAAUUUUCUGGGUCAUGGAUAACGCUUUAUAGUACUGGAAACAGCUGAUCAGUCUACUUUUCCUUGCUUGAAAACUGUUUCGGCAUGAACCAGUUUGUUGGUGUUGUCCCCUGAAGAUGUGCUGCCCGCUGUGUAUCUGUGUACAAAUAAGAUUGCUGCUGACCACGAAAAUAUUGUUAGUUUACUUUCUUCUCUAAUUCUUCGUCCUCUUUUGGUGUUCUUAUCUACGUGGUUACAUUUGUUUAGAAUUAAUCUUGUUAGUCUACUAUGAGCAUUAGAUUUUUAUGUAAAAAUUUUCAUACUACAGUUCUCUAUUCUCAAAGUUGGAUCAUUUCUCUUUUGCAAUUUACUUCCUUAUGUCUCAUGUAUAUGGUUCUUCAGGUAGAGCUGUUUGUCAUUGGCUGAAUUAUGUUAUAGUGAAAACUCAAAUUGAAAAUAUAUCAGGCUAUAGUCAGUUUGCGUCGUCUUAAUGGUUUUGCUUUUCUUUCCUAAAACUGAUUAUUCAUUCUUUUCUAUGCCAUUUCCUUCUACUGGCUAUGACAAGUAAAAUUGUACUCUUGUCUAUUUUUAGAUCAUAAUCGUGGCUUAUUCAUUUCUUUUGGCUUUGUUAUAUAAACCAAGAAAUAGAAUGUAGUCAUUGUUGUAGGAACUAAAUGUUGGUGGAAGUUUAGUUACGUCAGCUUUGGAGGAGGCUUGUGGGACAAACCGAUCUACAAUAAGGGAUAUGUACAAUGACUUGGGUGACCUUGGUAGGAAAAUAUAUCUUCUUUUCCCCUCUUAGUAGUAAUCUGGAUAGCCUGCUAAAUAUUCCGUCAUCUUUUAAGGGGAUGUUGCUCAAGUCUGCCGACAACGAGAGAUGUCCCCACUUCUGAUUAGAGAGGUGUUUUUUACACUCCAAAAGUUAAGGUAUGAGUAAACCAUUCCAAUGUUUAUACAAGAAAAUGUUACAACUUCAUGACACAUAGAUACCAUCAACUUAAGUUAGCAAUUGUAAUUUGUAUUUGUAUGAAAGCAUGUCAUGGAGGACGGACAGUAACAAGUUUUCCUCAAAGGUCAUUAUUGGGAUAGUAAUUUCUCUAUAGAUUUCAAUAACCUUAAAAAAAAAUUCAGAUAUUUAAGAUUUCAUGAAGGUAUCUGAUGAUCAGUGAUUUAAAAAUUUUCAGUUAAUAAUAAACGAUUUGAAUUUUUUAGACACAUAGAUGAGAAAAUUUUUACUGCUUUUGAGGGAUAAUUAUUAAAGGAUUAGCAAUUGUAAUUUGCAUUUGUAUGAAAGCAUGUUAUGGAGGACGGACAGUAACAAUCUUUCCUCAAGGGUCAUUAUUGGAAUAGUAAUUUCUCUAUAGAUUCUAAUAACCUUUAAAAAGAUUCAGAUAUUUAGGAUUUUAUGAAAAUAUCUGAUUAUCAGUGAUUUAGAAAUUUUCAGUUAAUAAUAAACGACUUGAAUUUUUUAGGUAAAUAGAUGAAAAAUUUUUUGUUACUUUUAAGGGAUAAUUAUUAAAGGAUUACGUACUUCUAGACUCCAUGUCUUCUAUCAUGCUAAGAAGUCCUUUAAGUAUUGAAGGAAGUGUAAGCAGACACUUGAAUUUCUUUUGAUUUGAUUGUGCAAAUGACCUAGUCUGUACCAAGUGCCAUUUACAGUAGAGGACACAUCUUCUAAAAUGCCAGAUCACUAUUUUGUAAUGAAAUUUACAUAUUUUUGCGUUAAUUGUAUCAUGUGCAUUGAUUGUUUGUGCUCUUUAUGCAAAUCCUACCUCUAUUUUAUUUUUCUUAUAUAUAAUUCAUCAGUGCACAAAUAGGCAGUCAAAGUAUCGAUAGUCAUGCGCUCUUAUAGAGAAAAAAGUGAUUAAGUCUCGUUAGGACCUUGGUAAGAUUCUCCCAGAACUUUUUUUGCUUACAUAUCUAUUAUGAGGGUUUUUAUGCUGUGUUAAUUACGCACUUUAGGCAUGAUAAAUUUACACAUUUAGUGAACUUAGACCAGAAAUGUGCUUGCCGCUUGUUAAGUAUGUAGUGUUUUUGCAAAUAUUCAACAGUUUUCAAUUGACUCAGUGUCAGAUUUUCAGGCUGGGAAUUAGAGCGAUAAUUUGGCAAUCAUAUUGAUUGUUUAUGUUGGGAAGCACUUAUUGAGAGAAAGAAAGUUGUUCGACUUGGUUUUUAAAGGUGAAGUUGAUAAUAUUUUUAGAUUAACAGAGAACGGACAUAUAUUUUAGUUUCUGAAGAUUUGAUAGUUAUUCAAGUUCUUAUCGAUUUGGGAUUAAAAAGAGAAAACUUCAUAAACCUUAUCUAUAAGAAGAUGACAAACAAACGAUAAACCAAGCUCUAUACAAUCAAGUAAGAAUAGAAGUAUUAACUUUUGAACAUGAGACAGAACAUAAUAGAGAAAGAAGAAGGAUAGUAUUGUUCCCUCAAAGUACAAGGUGAUGGGUGGCUACUUUGUCCUUACACAAGAAUAUCAGAAAAUAAAAUAUUAAAAUUUUAAUAAUAAAACAAUAAUAAAAAUAAAGAUGAAUUAAAAUAUGAAAUAAUUUUAAAAUAAUUGAAAAGAUCCAUAGGCUGAGCAAUCCUCAGUUCUCCGGCCCAACAUAGCAAGACCCGAAUCCGACCCGAAAACAGUAUAUUAUAAGCCGCUUCCCCAGAAAAAAAUUGUAGGCGGAAAGGAAUCAAGAAAUCAAGAAAGGGAAAGAAAUGCUACUCGGAUAAUCAACACGCUUCUAUGGCUUCUUCUCCUCCCACUGCCACUCCCAACGGCAAAACCCUAACCCUAGACUCCUGCCGCCUCUAUGUCACCGCUCUCAACCCCCUCUCUUCCCAUACCUCUACUCCCGAUCCCUCCCUUUCUUUCCAUCCCAUUCCCUCCACUUUCCCUCUUUCCAAACUCAUCCCUAACACCCGCUUCCUCGUAGACGCUUUUCGCUUCCCUUCCUCCUCUAAUUUCUCCGCUUCUUUCUUCCUCUCUCACUUCCAUUCCGAUCACUACGCCGGCCUCUCUGCCUCCUGGUCUAAAGGCAUCAUCUUCUGCUCCCACAUAACCUCCCGCCUCCUCAUCGACGUCCUUCAAGUUUCCUCACCCUUCAUCUUCUCCUUGCCUUUACAACAGCCCGUUGUAAUUGAUGGCUGCGAGGUUACUCUCGUUGAUGCCAACCAUUGUCCAGGAGCAGUCCAGUUCCUAUUCAAGGUUCCCCUGAAAAACGGGGGUUUUGAAAGAUAUGUUCAUACAGGUGAUUUUAGGUUUUCCGAGUCCAUGAAAUCGGAUACUUGUUUGAGCGGCUUUGUUGGGUGCGACGCGAUUUUCUUGGAUACUACUUAUUGCAAUCCCAAGUUUGUAUUUCCUUUGCAACAAGAGUCGAUUGACUAUGUGGUCAGUGUCAUAGAUAGGAUAGGAGGGGAGUUUAGUGCGAUGAGGAAGAGAGUUUUGUUUCUUGUUGCUACUUAUGUUGUCGGGAAAGAAAAGAUUUUGACCGAGGUUGCAAGGAGAUGUAAAAGAAAGAUUCACGUGGAUGCAAGGAAAAUGGCAGUUUUCCGCGUUUUAGGAUAUGGGGAUGGUGAGAUAUUUACAGAAGAUGAGAGGGAGAGUGAUGUUCAUGUUGUUGGGUGGAAUGUGUUGGGCGAGACUUGGCCCUAUUUUAGACCGAAUUUUGUGAGAAUGAAGGAUAUUAUGGUUGAGAAAGGCUAUGAAAAGGUUGUUGGUUUUGUGCCAACUGGGUGGACUUAUGAAGUGAAGCGCAAUAAGUUUGCAGUCAGGUGCAAGGAUUCUUAUGAGAUUCAUCUUGUACCAUAUAGUGAGCAUUCGAAUUAUGAUGAACUAAGAGAGUAUGUGAAAUAUUUGAAACCAAAGAGGGUGAUCCCUACUGUUGGUAUGGAUGCUGAGAAUAUUGAUAGCAAGCAUGCGAUUAAAAUGCGAAAACAUUUUGUAGGGCUUGUCGAUGAAAUGGCUAAUAAGAAAGACUUCUUAAUGGGUUUCUAUCUCAAAUCAUGUGAACAUGGUGAAAAGGCUGAAAUGAAUGCUAGCAUUGGCCUGAAUGAGCCAGACCAAGAGAAGGGGAGCUCAUUUGAAGCACCAACCAUUGAGAAGAAUGAUCCUGGUGAUACUUUGGAUGAUACAAUUUUAUCAGUGGAACCUUCUUUAAGAGUUUCCACUUUACAAGUAAAUGAUGAGGAAACCGAAAAAAUCAUUGGGGAACUUCGUAAUUGUUUGCCCACGUGGGUCACCCAAGAGCAGAUACUUGAUUUAAUUGGGAAGUCGGGAAGAAAUAUUGUUGAAGUUGCCUCUAAUUUCUAUGAACACGAAACUUUGUUUUAUGAGCAAGUCUUUGCUUGUUCAACUUCUGGUGCUGCAUCACAAACCAUUUUGCUAAACGAGACUGUGCCGCUUCUAAAACCAGCUUCUGUUGAGAAUAGUCCUCAUAAAAGGGUAGGCAUUCAUCUAAGUCAAGUAUGCAAGUCCCUAAACAUUAAAACUUCCGUGAAAAGCAGCAUUUCACCUGGAAAAAGAAAGAAUAUUGUUGACAAUAAGCCAAACAAAAAAAUAAAAUCUAGUACUAAACUGGAAUCUUCCGGGCCUAAGCAAUCUACGAUAACCAGGUUCUUCAGUAAACAAUUGCCUAAUCAAUUUCACACGGAUGAAGG
rnacentral:lncRNA from 1 species